UACGGAGGGAGCUAGCGUUGUUCGGAUAUACUGGGUGUAAAGCGCACGUAGGCGGCGCAGCAAGUCAGGGGUGAAAUCCCGGAGCUCAACUCCGGAACUGCCUUUGAAACUGCAGUGCUAGAAUUCUGGAGAGGCGAGUGGAAUUCCGAGUGUAGAGGUGAAAUUCGUAGAUAUUCGGAAGAACACCAGUGGCGAAGGCGACUCGCUGGACAGACAUUGACGCUGAGGUGCGAAAGCGUGGGGAGCAAACAGG
rnacentral:rRNA from 1 species